UUACGGCCAUAUCACGUUGAAACACCGGUUCUCGUAUGAUUAACGAAGUUAAGCAACGUCGAACCUGGUCAGUACCUAGAUGGGAAACCGCUUGGGAAUACCAGUAUCUG